rnacentral:rRNA from 1 species
UAGGGAAUCUUCCACAAUGGGCGAAAGCCUGAUGGAGCAACGCCGCGUGUGUGAUGAAGGCUUUAGGGUCGUAAAGCACUGUUGUAUGGGAAGAAAUGCUAGAAUAGGGAAGGAUUCUAGUUCGACGGUACCAUACCAGAAAGGGACGGCUAAAUACGUGCCAG